rnacentral:rRNA from 1 species
UACGUAGGGUGCAAGCGUUGUCCGGAAUUAUUGGGCGUAAAGAGCUCGUAGGCGGUUUGUCGCGUCGGCUGUGAAAACUCGGGGCUCAACCCCGAGCCUGCAGUCGAUACGGGCAGACUAGAGUGCGGUAGGGGAGACUGGAAUUCCUGGUGUAGCGGUGAAAUGCGCAGAUAUCAGGAGGAACACCGGUGGCGAAGGCGGGUCUCUGGGCCGUAACUGACGCUGAG